rnacentral:rRNA from 1 species
AAAUCAGGUAGGACUACCCGCUGGAG